CAGGCCCGCCCCCUUCCCGGAGCCCAGGCCCCACCCCUAGCCCUGGCUCCACCCGGCGCGCAGGUGUCUUGGGUUGCGCUGGACAAGGGCAGCGACCCAGGCUGACCCACCUCCUCCGUCUCCCGGCUCUGCGGAACCUCACUCAGUGCGGAUCCCGGGCGCGCUCGCACACCUCACCCGCGUCGGCUUGAAGAAAUCCGGAAAGUGGGUUUGCCAUUCUUUUUUUUCAUCUUCAGAUAAACCAGAUCCAGUCGGUUAGCCUAAAUCCGCACUGCGCGCAAGGAAGAAACCCUGACGCCCAUCGGGGUGUGCACUUCGGCGUCCUCUUUUGUAAAGGGGAAUGAUCACACCUGCCUUUUCGGAUGUCAUGAGAAUUUAAUGGGCUCUCCCAGAAAGGUGCCUGGUAGCGGCAGGCAUGUCGGUACAUGGUAGUUAUUAAUUAUCAUUACUGUACAAAUUCCCAGACUGGAAAAAAGACAUGUGCUCCUAAAAGGACAGGCAAACAGGUAACAAGAUAAAUAAGAUCCGUAAAAGUAUUCUUAGUAUACAUUUUACAGUGUGCUUCAUUUGAAAUUUCCAGAUGUGAAAAACUUGUCCACAUCUUCCCUUCCCAGCUCUAGGAUUUCUGUGAUUUGCUUGUAUCCUUAUUGUUAGUGUCUGUCAAUCCUCCCAGAAUGUAAGAUCCUCAAAGGCAGGGUUCUUAAUUUUGUUGCCUGAUGUAUCCAAGGGUCUUUAGAACACUGCACGUAGUAGCACAUAGUAGAUACUAAAUAAAUAUUUCGUGAAUCACACAAAUGAGUAUGAGUUUUGUCUGGCGGUGGGGUAAGAUCGUUGAAAUGGAGU
rnacentral:lncRNA from 1 species